CCUACGGGACGCAGCAGUGGGGAAUAUUGGGCAAUGGGCGCAAGCCUGACCCAGCAACGCCGCGUGAAGGAAGAAGGCUUUCGGGUUGUAAACUUCUUUUAAGAGGGAAGAGUAGAAGACGGUACCUCUUGAAUAAGCCACGGCUAACUACGUGCCAGCAGCCGCGGUAAUACGUAGGUGGCAAGCGUUGUCCGGAUUUACUGGGUGUAAAGGGCGUGUAGCCGGGCCGGCAAGUCAGAUGUGAAAUCCACGGGCUCAACCCGUGAACUGCAUUUGAAACUGUUUCCCUUGAGUGUCGGAGAGGG
rnacentral:rRNA from 1 species